AUUGAACGCUGGCGGCAGGCCUAACACAUGCAAGUCGAACGGUAACAGGAAGCAGCUUGCUGCUUUGCUGACGAGUGGCGGACGGGUGAGUAAUGUCUGGGAAACUGCCUGAUGGAGGGGGAUAACUACUGGAAACGGUAGCUAAUACCGCAUAACGUCGCAAGACCAAAGAGGGGGACCUUCGGGCCUCUUGCCAUCGGAUGUGCCCAGAUGGGAUUAGCUAGUAGGUGGGGUAACGGCUCACCUAGGCGACGAUCCCUAGCUGGUCUGAGAGGAUGACCAGCCACACUGGAACUGAGACACGGUCCAGACUCCUACGGGAGGCAGCAGUGGGGAAUAUUGCACAAUGGGCGCAAGCCUGAUGCAGCCAUGCCGCGUGUAUGAAGAAGGCCUUCGGGUUGUAAAGUACUUUCAGCGGGGAGGAAGGGAGUAAAGUUAAUACCUUUGCUCAUGGACGUUACCCGCAGAAGAAGCACCGGCUAACUCCGU
rnacentral:rRNA from 1 species